rnacentral:rRNA from 1 species
AAACCAGCACCUCAAGUGGUCAGGAGGAUUAUUGGGCCUAAAGCAUCCGUAGCCUGCUUUGUAAGUUUCCGGUUAAAUUCAUUAGCUCAACUAAUGGCCUGCCGGAAAUACUGUAGAACUAGGGAGUGGGAGAGGUAGACGGUAUUCGGUAGGAAGGGGUAAAAUCCUUUGAUCUAUUGAGGACCACCUGUGGCGAAGGCGGUCUACCAGAACACGUUCGACGGUGAGGGAUGAAAGCUGGGGGAGCAAACCGGAUUAGAAACCCCAGUAGUCC